GAUGAACGCUGGCGGCGUGCCUAACACAUGCAAGUCGAGCGAUUCUCUUCGGAGAAGAGCGGCGGACGGGUGAGUAACGCGUGGGUAACCUGCCCUGUACACACGGAUAACAUACCGAAAGGUAUGCUAAUACGAGAUAAUAUGCUUUAUCGCAUGGUAGAAGUAUCAAAGCUCCGGCGGUACAGGAUGGACCCGCGUCUGAUUAGCUAGUUGGUAAGGUAACGGCUUACCAAGGCGACGAUCAGUAGCCGACCUGAGAGGGUGAUCGGCCACAUUGGAACUGAGACACGGUCCAAACUCCUACGGGAGGCAGCAGUGGGGAAUAUUGCACAAUGGGCGAAAGCCUGAUGCAGCAACGCCGCGUGAGCGAUGAAGGCCUUCGGGUCGUAAAGCUCUGUCCUCAAGGAAGAUAAUGACGGUACUUGAGGAGGAAGCCCGGCUAGCUACGUGCCAGCAGCCGCGGUAAU
rnacentral:rRNA from 1 species